rnacentral:rRNA from 1 species
CCUACGGGUGGCAGCCGUGAUGAAUAUUGGUCAAUGGCCGUAAGGCUGAACCAGCCAAGUCGCGUGAAGUGAGGAGGAUCUAUGGUUUGUAAACUUCUUUUAUAGGGGUCUAACGGUAUCCACGUGUGGAUCUUUGCAUGUACCCUAUGAAUAAGCAUCGGCUAACUCCGUGCCAGCAGCCGCGGUAAUACGGAGGAUUCGAGCGUUAUCCGGAGUUAUUGGGUUUAAAGGGUUCGUAGGUUGUUUUUUAAGUCAGCGGUGAAAGUUUGUGGAUCAACCAUAAAAUUGCCGUUUAAACUGGAAGACUUGAGUGUGUUUGAGGUAGGCGGAAUGCGUGGUGUAGCGGUGAAAUGCAGAGAUAUCACGCAGAACUCCGAUUGCGAAGGCAGCUUACUAAGCCAUAACUGACACUGAAGCACGAAAGCGUGGGGAUCAAACAGGAUUAGAUACCCCUGUAGUC